rnacentral:rRNA from 1 species
GAUGAACGCUGGCGGCGUGCCUAAUACAUGCAAGUCGAGCGAACAGAUGAGGAGCUUGCUCCUCUGACGUUAGCGGCGGACGGGUGAGUAACACGUGGAUAACCUACCUAUAAGACUGGGAUAACUUCGGGAAACCGGAGCUAAUACCGGAUAAUAUAUUGAACCGCAUGGUUCAAUAGUGAAAGACGGUUUUGCUGUCACUUAUAGAUGGAUCCGCGCCGCAUUAGCUAGUUGGUAAGGUAACGGCUUACCAAGGCAACGAUGCGUAGCCGACCUGAGAGGGUGAUCGGCCACACUGGAACUGAGACACGGUCCAGACUCCUACGGGAGGCAGCAGUAGGGAAUCUUCCGCAAUGGGCGAAAGCCUGACGGAGCAACGCCGCGUGAGUGAUGAAGGUCUUCGGAUCGUAAAACUCUGUGAUUAGGGGAGAACAAAUGUGUAAGUAACUAUGCACGUCUUGACGGUACCUAAUCAGAAAGCCACGGCUAACUACGCG